GUGUGAGUACGGUUUGAAGGUGUAUUGCGUGAGUACGGUUUGAAGGCACAUUGUGUGGGUACGGUUUGAAGGCACAUUGUGUGGGUACGGUUUGAAGGCACAUUGUGUGGGUACAGUUUGAAGGCGCAUUGUGUGAGUACGGUUUGAAGGUGCAUUGUGUGAGUACGGUUUGAAGGCACAUUGCGUGAGUACGGUUUGAAGGCACAUUGCGUGAGUACAGUUUGAAGGUGCAUUGUGUGAGUACGGUUUGAAGGUGUAUUGUGUGAGUACGGUUUGAAGGUGCAUUGUGUGGGUACGGUUUGAAGGCACAUUGUGUGGGUACGGUUUGAAGGCGCAUUGUGUGAGUACGGUUUGAAGGUGUAUUGUGUGAGUACAGUUUGAAGGCUAGGCUACUGUUG
ensembl:lncRNA